UACAGAGGGUGCGAGCGUUGUCCGGAAUCACUGGGCGUAAAGGGCGCGUAGGUGGUGACCUAAGCGUGCGGUGAAAGCCCGAGGCUCAACCUCGGGUCGGCCGUGCGAACUGGGUCACUGGAGCAGAAUAGAGGCAGGUGGAAUUCCGGGUGGUAGCGGUGGAAUGCGUAGAGAUCCGGAAGAACACCGGUGGCGAAGGCGGCCUGCUGGGUUCUGGCUGACACUGAGGCGCGACAGCGUGGGGAGCAAACAGGAU
rnacentral:rRNA from 1 species